CCUACCUCCGCUUCCUACUCUGUGACUUUGCACAUUCAAUCAUUGCCUGGCUCCACCAGCAGUAUAUAAGGUGAAAGAGGAUCCUGCCAGCUGUUCUAGGCCCAGAGGACACCUCUCUCUCUCUCUCUGUCACUCACACACACACACACACACACACACACUCUCUCUCUCUCUCUCACACACACCCACUUAUUGAUGGGGUAAUAGGAUCAAGAGGUAGCUUUGCAUCAUCAAAAAGAAGUCAGUCAUUCUAGCCUGGAGCUUUAGAAGACGAAGUAAAAAAGAAGUCAGACAGUCCUAGCUUUGAAUCCUGGCCCAGCCACUUACUAGGUGGGAGACCUUGGGACAAUCGUAUCCCUUCUGGGGGAAUUUCCCCACCUCCAUGUUGAAGCCAAGGAUGACUAGUACUCCAUGGAAAAGAGGUCAACAUGAUAACCAGGAGAUGUGGUCAUGGGGCAUUAAAAGGUUCGAAGCUGUUCCAGAAAGGAUGUCAUUGAUGUGGAAUACAGGAGCGAGUCCAGCGGAUUCGUGGAAAUGGAUGGAGGCUGCUGAGUUGAGAGACUGAGAAGUGGAGGUACCUAGGAAGGUCCUCCCUGAAAAUACAUCGGGUUGUAAAA
rnacentral:lncRNA from 1 species